GAUGAACGCUGGCGGCGUGCCUAAUACAUGCAAGUCGAGCGAACAGACGAGGAGCUUGCUCCUCUGACGUUAGCGGCGGACGGGUGAGUAACACGUGGAUAACCUACCUAUAAGACUGGGAUAACUUCGGGAAACCGGAGCUAAUACCGGAGAAUAUAUUGAACCGCAUGGUUCAAUAGUGAAAGACGGUUUUGCUGUCACGUAUAGAUGGAUCCGCGCCGCAUUAGCUAGUUGGUAAGGUAACGGCUUACCAAGGGAACGAUGGGUAGCCGAACUGAGAGGGUGAUCGGCCACACUGGAACUGAGCCACCGUCCAGACUCCUACGGGAGGCAGCAGUCGGGAACCUUCCGCAAUGGGCGAAAGCCUGACGGAGCAACGCCGCGUGAGUGAUGACGGUCUUCGGAUCGUAAAACUCUGUUAUUAGGGAAGAACAAAUGUGUAAGUAACUAUGCACGUCUUGACGGUACCUAAUCAGAAAGCCACGGCUAACUACGUG
rnacentral:rRNA from 1 species